rnacentral:rRNA from 1 species
GACGAACGCUGGCGGCGUGCCUAAUACAUGCAAGUCGAGCGGACAGAAGGGAGCUUGCUCCCGGAAGUUAGCGGCGGACGGGUGAGUAACACGUGGGCAACCUACCCUGUAGAUCGGGAUAACAUCGAGAAAUCGGUGCUAAUACCGGAUAAUCAUUUGAAGUGCAUGCUUCGAAUGUAAAAGAUGGCUCCGGCUAUCACUACGGGAUGGGCCCGCGGCGCAUUAGCUAGUUGGUAAGGUAAUGGCUUACCAAGGCAAGGAUGCGUAGCCGACCUGGGAGGGUGAUCGGCCACACUGGUAAUGAGACACGUCCCAGACUCCUACGGGAGGCAGCAGUAGGGAAUCUUCCGCAAUGGACGAAAGUCUGACGGAGCAACGCCUCGUGAGUGAUGAAGGUUUUCGGAUCGUAAAGCUCUGUUGUUAGGGAAGAACAAGUGCCGUUUGAAUAAGGCGGCACCUUGACGGUACCUAACCAGGAAGCCACGGCUAACUACGUGCCAGCAGCCGCAGUAACAC